rnacentral:rRNA from 1 species
UACAGAGGUCUCGAGCGUUAGGCGGAAUCACUGGGCUUAAAGCGUGUGUAGGCGGAUCGGUAAGUACCUUGUGAAAUCCCACAGCUCAACUGUGGAACUGCUUGGUAUACUGCCAGUCUUGAGCCAGCUAGGGGCUACCGGAACAAAUGGUGGAGCGGUGAAAUGCGUAGAUAUCAUUUGGAACGCCAAUGGUGAAAACAGGUAGCUGGGGCUGUGCUGACGCUGAGACACGAAAGUCAGGGGAGCAAACGGG